rnacentral:rRNA from 1 species
UACGAAGGGGGCGAGCGUUGUUCGGAUUUACUGGGCGUAAAGGGCGCGCAGGCGGUCUUGAAAGUCAGGCGUGAAAGCCCCGGGCUUAACCUGGGAAUUGCGCUUGAUACUCUGAGACUGGAGUACGGGAGAGGAGAGUGGAAUUCCCAGUGUAGAGGUGAAAUUCGUAGAUAUUGGGAAGAACACCAGUGGCGAAGGCGGCGACCUGGGCCAAUAUUGACGCUGAGGUGCGAAAGCGUGGGGAGCAAACAGG